UUUAGCUUUUAAAAUUGAUAGGAUUGUUUUCUUGGCCCUCCUUGCUUAGUUUCUCAGAUAAGGCAGCUAGCUCCUAAGCUGAUCCUUAUAGGUACUGCUUUUCACUUUCUUUUAUUUUCUGCCAUCAUUCAUUCACUCCACAAACAAUGAACACCUGCUACAUGCUGGGCUCUGUACUAGGCAUCAAAAUUACAAAAUAAGUAAUAUGAAGCUUCUACCUGUUAAGAGUGGAGUCCAGAAAAGGGAGCAAGUAAUCCCAAUUUUACUUUUUAGAUGGUGCAAACACAGUAAAGAAACUAUAGCAGAGAUGGUAGGGCUUACUAAACAUUUCAGUUGCUGCUAGGCAGGUCACACUGUUCUUACAAAUGCGGUGGAAGUGGAAAUGUGUGCUCUGCUUCCAGGCUGAGGUAAUAGAAAGCCAGUCUGAAGUAACUAUUGAGGAGUCUGUUCUGGUUGGUGGAACCUCCACAAACCUAGGUGACUACACAGAGUAGACCCUGUCCAGAGCUGUACUGGACAUGUAAUAUGAGUACAAAGUAAACUUCUGUUGUGUGAAGCCACUGUGAUUUGAGGUUUGUUGCUGUAGCAUAUUUGAGUCUAAUUGAACGAAUUAGAGGGCUGUUUGUGUCUAUUUCACCUGUUACUCCUUCUAACUCUCUAUUUGUUUUUGGUACCAGGGAUUGAAUCAGGGGUUCUUCACCAUUGAGCCACAUCCCUAGCCCCAACCCCCUAUUUUUCAUUUUGAGACAGAGUCUCACCAAGUUGCUCAGGGCCUUGCUAAAUUGCUGGCACUGGUCUUGAACUGGCGAUCCUCCUGCCUCAGUUUCCUAAGUGACUGGGAUUAUAGGUGUGUGCCACAGCACCCAGCCUAACUCUCUUUUUAAAUUAAAUAUGAACCAAAGGUGCUCUGCAAAGUAUAUGAUAUUAUAUGAUACGAACCCCCCCCCCAAAUAAAUAUGUUGAAAUUUAAUCACUAAGUGAUAGUGUAAGAGAUGGGGCCUUUAUGAGGUGAGUAAUUUAAAAAGGUAGAAUUCUCCUGAAUGGGAUUUGUGCCCUUAUAAAAGAGGAUUAAGGGACACCCUUCCUUUUGCCCUUCUUCCUUGUGAGGACACAGCAACAAAGCACCAUCUAUGAAGAAUGGGUUAUCACCAGUUACUAAAUCAGGUAGUACCUUGAUCUUAGAUUUCCUAGCAUUCUGCCCUGUGAGAAAUAGUUCUAUUGUUUAUAAAUUAUACCACCUAAUGUGUUUUUUUAUAGCAGCAUGGACAAACAAGAUAUAUUUUUCACUAAAAUGGAUGUCAAUUGAGAGAAGAAAGCUGAAAAUGUGUGAAAUGAGUGUUCACUGGGGUAAAGUAAAUGGAGCAGACAGGAGGGAGCUGGGACUGUGCAGAGAGUGGUUUGGUUUCUAGAAUGUAUUCUCAGUACUGGAUCAAGACCCAUGCUUAGUAGACAUUAGUGAAUGAAAAAGAUGCAAAGAAAGAACUAGUUGAAGAUUUGGGCACGAAAGUAGAAAUGACAGAGAUUGGAACAGGCAGGAUUGGAGCAACAUCCUUUACCUCCUCCUCUUACCUGUUUUAGAGGGAGCAUUGGCUAUCUGGAGUUCACGCAGAUAUAAGAGAACAGUACGGGCAGGCAUUCUGGGGUUUUGUUUUGUUUUGCGGUACAGGGGAUUGAAUCCAAGGGUACUGAACCACUGAGCUUCAUCCCCAGCUCUUUUUUUGAGACAGGUUCUCACUAAGUUGCUAAGUUUCUUUCUAAGGCUGGGUUUGUACUCGCAAUCCUCCUACCUCAGUCUCUCUAGUCAUUGGGAUUGCAAGUACGUGCCAUUGCAUGCAAGUACCUUAUUGUAACGAUCACCAUCAUCCACCUUCAGAAGUUUUUCAUCUUCCCAGAGUCACACUCUGUAUCCAUUAAACAAUAUUUUCCCAUUCUUCUCUCCUGCAGUCCCUAGCAAUCCCCAUUCAACUUCCUGUCUCCAGGAAUAUGACUAUUUUAGAUACCUUUUGUAAGUAAGCUGAAUAAUAUUCCAUGGUAUGCAUUCUGGAUUUUGAUACCCAAUAUUCCCACUUCAUCUAAGACUCUAUGUACCAACACAGCUGCAUAUGAUGUACAAUGCCAUCUGGUGGUCGGUAGGGAGCAAUCUCUGCCUUAAUGUACCUUUCCUUUGGAACAGUGCCUCUGUUUUGUUUGUGCUCAUAGAUAGGCCAGUUUAGUUUCAAGUUAUCUUUCUACACUUAUCCAAGCAUCACUCAUUAUCUUCCUUUCAAUAUUUCUUUUAAAGGAUAGGAAUUUCUAUCUGAAGGAUGUAUUCCUAUCCCUCUUUUUCCUAUUUCAGACAUCCUCAGGGAUGAUGGAUGUGAGCUCCUGGGUCCCUAAGGAGCAGAAUCAUUAUGUUAACAGGUCACUGUCCUUACCUGGCACAGCCUCUUGCUCUGUGGCCUAUUUUGUUCCUAUCCAAUAAGAACACCUGGGCAGGACCUCACCCAUCAGUCUCAUGUUCUUCCCUCCCUUCUUUCCUGCCACAUCUUAGUUCAUCAGAAGAUGGAUGUGUGAGGGAGGCUUGUAUGUAGGACCAGUUUGCUUUGGCAGAAACACCUUAGCAUUCAGAUCCCAAGAUUCUGGCAGAUGCAUCUGGAUCAGACUCAGAUGGGGCCAGAGUCUGAACCAGGUCUCAGGCACUGCAAUACACGGCUAGGAAAAAGAGUUCUGAAAUGUAAGAGGUCAUGGCCUAAAUAAAGCACAGCAUCCUACCUGGAGGUGAAGGUUGCCAGUGAUCUUCAGAUGUAUUUUCCAUCCUUCAUAGUCUUGGAGAAGAAAAGUACUAAGAUUCAGGCACCCUCAAUCCCCAACACUGAUCAUGACUGACCAUGUUUCAAUAUGUCUCAUGGUGUUGGGCACAGAAUCUCUCAGGGUACUUUGUGGUCAGUAACUACAGAUUGACUAGAUUCUGUGGAGCCUCUCUGGUUCCUCAGACACACUCAGCAUUUCUGCCCCUUUGGGCCAUUGUGCUGUCUGCACAGCUUCAGUGGGACUAUUGGCAGGCUGUACUUGUAACUGUUGGCACACCUCUUUCUCCAAAACUCUUUCAUCGAGUUAAGAGAAGGACCUGGUAUACUUAUCUCUCCCACACCUAAUGCAUUACAUGAUCAUCAAUAAACUUUUAUAGAAUUCAUUCAUUUACUAAACCUCCUGGCAAGAAAAGUGUUCUUUUUUUUGAACCAAUAUCUGGCUGCCCUCAACUUUUAUUUCAGUAAUGGUCAGAAAGUGACGGACAUUUAUGAAACAACAGCAGGGCAACAGCUCUUGUAUGAUGAUGACCUCAAUGCCACUGUCAUCAUCCUUACCUAAGCCCCACUCCCAGGCCCCUCCUACAUCUUCCCAUGAUUCAGUCCACUAAAGAAUUAAUAAUUGGUACAAGAGCCCUACCUGCAGGUCAUAGGCUUCUGUUAAUUGGUAAUUGUGCCUCUGGUUUUUCAAUAUUUUAAAGUCAUCCUUGCCUGAUUUCAGAUAGUACUAGAAAUUCUUAUUUCCUCUCCUCUGUUGUGAUGGACACAAGCCAGGAUGAGCCCAGAUUAGGACACUAAUUAGAUCCAAGAUUCAGUUUUUCCAUCCGCAGUUUCUGCACCUUUUAGAGGUAAGGUUAGUAUUAACCUCAGAGUAGGAGAGGCCUGUGCUUUAUAUAGGCCACUACCACAUGAUCUCUUACACUUCAGAACUCUCUCUCCCGUCCUGUACUGCAGAGCCUCAGAGCAGGUUCAGACUCCGUCCCCAUUUGAGUGCUCUGGCUCCAGACUCUUUUCAAUCCAUUUUCCAUAUGGCUCCCAGUGACUGUGCCGAUUGCUUCCCUGAUUAACCCAGAUGGUGCUACUGGAAGAAAGACAGCAAAGAAAAACCUCACUGUCCCAUAUACCUGGGCUCUAAUUUUUGCCCUGCAGCUGUAUUAUCUAUGUGACCUCAGAUAAAUUAUGUAAUUCCAAAAAAAUCAGAAUUUCCUCUUAUUUAAAAUAGGGAUGUUAUUAUUGUCAUCACAUCAUUCCUUCAGGCCCUGACCACCUGUAAUCUACAUUGGAUUUACUACGGGUUGUUCAUCUCCUCUACCACUCCAAAACCUCCAAGAAAAACAAACAAAAUAAUUAAUUAAAUUUAAUGUUUAAAACAA